UUCCGGCUCGUAUGUUGUGUGGAAUUGUGAGCGGAUAACAAUUUCACACAGGAAACAGCUAUGACCAUGAUUACGCCAAGCUAUUUAGGUGACACUAUAGAAUACUCAAGCUAUGCAUCCAACGCGUUGGGAGCUCUCCCAUAUGGUCGACCUGCAGGCGGCCGCGAAUUCACUAGUGAUUUGAACCUGCGGAAGGAUCAUUACUGAAAAACUAUUUUAAGUUUUUUAUAUCCCAUUGUUUACUUACCCUGUUGCUUUCACUGGACAGAUUUCACCUUGUGUGGGUCCUUUGGCUUGUGUGAAAUACCACUUGCCAAAGAGUUGCCAGUGGUAAGACCUAUUUAUCAAAACUUGAGUUUCAAUAAACACAACUGUCUGAAUAUUUUUUUUCUUUAAUGAAAUAAAACUUUCAACAACGGAUCUCUAGGCUCUUGCAUCGAUGAAGAACGCAGUGAAAUGCGAUAAGUAAUGUGAAUUGCAGAAUCUCGUGAAUCAUUGAAUCUUUGAACGCACAUUGCGCCCUAUGGUAUUCCAUUGGGCAUGCCUGUCUGAGCGUCAGCUCCCCCUCCACUCAAGAAUUAUUUUAUAUGAUACUUGGAUUACUUUGGAGAUGUAACUGUAUAUUAAGUUGCCCUCCAGAAAUUCAUUGGCAGUAUGGUUUGUACUUGGACCAGACGUAAUAGUAAUAAAAUCGUUUGUUUGGGUAUAAUUGAAUUGUACUUGCCUUAACCCCCACCCAUUUUUAUUUUGGGUGACCUCAGAUCAGGUAGGGAUACCCGCUGAACUUAAGCAUAUCAAUAAGCGGAGGAAAUCGAAUUCCCGCGGCCGCCAUGGCGGCCGGGAGCAUGCGACGUCGGGCCCAAUUCGCCCUAUAGUGAGUCGUAUUACAAUUCACUGGCCGUCGUUUUACAACGUCGUGACUGGGAAAACCCUGG
rnacentral:misc_RNA from 1 species